AGCCUACUGCUAUCGGUUUAGGACUAAGACAUGCAAGUUCAGCGACUCAGCAAGAGUUGCAGCGAACCGCUCAGUAACGAGUAGUCAACCUACCCCAUGGAGGAGGACAACUGCGGGAAACUGCAGUUAAUCCCCCAUAAACGAGGCACGCUGGAAUGCUGUCUCGCUAAAAAGGGUCAAUCUUAUGCUGAUUGAUACCGCCAUGGGACGGGACUGCUUCCGAUCAGGUAGUAGGUGGGGUAAUGGCCCACCUAGCCUCAGACCGGUACGGGCCGUGAGAGCGAUAGCCCGGAGAUGGAUACUGAGACAACGAUCCAGGCCCUACAGGGUGUAGCAGUCGCGAAACCUGGCCAAUGAGCGCGAGCGUGAGCCGGUUAAACCGAGUGGGGUCCUAACGGGUCCCUUUUAACGAGUGUUAGUAGCUCGUUGAACAAGGAGAGGGCAAGACUGGUGCCAGCCGCCGCGGUAAAACCAGCUCUUCGAGUGGUGGGCGUGCUUACUGGGCCUAAAGCAUCCGUAGCCGGGUCUGCAAGUCCACAGUUAAAGCCCACGUCUUAAGCGUGGAAUCGCUGUGGAUACUACAGACCUUGGGAUCGGGAGAGGCGUGAGGUACGUUUCGGGUAGGGGUGAAAUCCGAUAAUCCGAAACUGACCACCGGUGGUCGUAAGGCGUCACGCUAGAACGAGUCCGACGGUCAGGGAUGAAAGCCGACGGGGAGCGAGCCGGAUUAAAUACCCGGGUAGUCCUGGCUGUAAACGAUGCCCGUCUAAGUGCUGCGCAUGGCACGACUAUGCGCAGUGCCGAAGGGAAGCCGCUAAGCGGGCCGCCUGGGGAGUACGGUCGCAAGACUGAAACUUAAAGGAAUUGGUGGGGGAGCACCACAAGGGGUGGAGCCUGCGGUUUAAUUGGACUCAACUCCGGGAAGCUCACCUGGACAGACAGCCAAAUGAGAGCCAGGCUGAAGACCUUGCUCGAUGAGCUGAGAGGAGGUGCAUGGCCGUCGUCAGCUCGUGCCGUGAGGUGUCCUGUUAAGUCAGGCAACGAGCGAGACCCGGGCCAACAGUUACCAGCGGGCCCCAUUGGGGCGCCGGGAACACUGUUGGGACUGCCACAGAGGAAUGUGGAUGAAGGACCGGGCCACGGCAGGUCAGUAUGCCCCGAUAGUCCAGGGCUACACGCGGGCUACAAUGGUGCGGACAGUGGGUAACCAACCCCGAAAGGGGCCGGUAAUCUCUAAACCGCAUCGCAGUUGGGAUUGAGGGCUGCAACUCGCCCUCAUGAACUUGGAAUCCCUAGUAACGGCGCGUCAACAUCACGCCGUGAAUACGUCCCUGCUCCUUGCACACACCGCCCGUCGCAGCAUCCGAGAUGGGUCUGCUUGAGGCUGCCCCUACGUGAGGUAUUCGAGAGUAGGCUCGUUGAGGAGGCUG
rnacentral:rRNA from 1 species